GGCUUCAUAGCUCAGUGGUUAGAGCACUGGUCUUGUAAACCAGGGGUCAUGAGUUCGAUUCUCACUGGAGCCU